GACGAACGCUGGCGGCGUGCUUAACACAUGCAAGUCGAACGGUGAAGCUCCAGCUUGCUGGAGUGGAUCAGUGGCGAACGGGUGAGUAACACGUGAGCAACCUGCCCCUGACUCUGGAAUAAGCGCUGGAAACGGCGUCUAAUACUGGAUACGAGAAGGGUCCGCAUGGGCACUUUCUGGAAAGUUUUUCGGUUGGGGAUGGGCUCGCGGCCUAUCAGCUUGUUGGUGAGGUAAUGGCUCACCAAGGCGACGACGGGUAGCCGGCCUGAGAGGGCGACCGGGCAACAGGGGGAAAGAGACACGGCCGAAACCCAGAGGGGGGGAGGAGGGGGGAAUUAUGGAAAAGGGGGGAAAGGCUGAAGGCAGGGAGCCGGGGGGGGGGAGAGGGGCCUGGGGUUGUAAAACCUUUUACAGAGGGAAAAAAGAGAAGGGGAGGGACCGUGAAAAAGAAACCCCGCAAAAAACGGGC
rnacentral:rRNA from 1 species